rnacentral:tRNA from 1 species
GGGCCCAUGGUAUAGCGGUAGAACAGAUCCAUGGCAUGGAUCAAAUCGGGGUUCGACUCCCCGUGGGUCCA